rnacentral:tRNA from 1 species
CCUGGUAGCUCAGUGGUAAAGAGUCUGCCUGCCAAGCAGGAGACAUGGGUUCCAUCCCUUGAUCAGGA